rnacentral:rRNA from 1 species
AGCUUGUUGGUGAGGUAAUAGCUCACCAAGGCAACGACGGGUAGCGGGUGUGAGAGCAUGACCCGCCUCACUGGGACUGAGACACUGCCCAGACUCCUACGGGAGGCUGCAGUCGAGAAUCUUCCCCAAUGCCCGAAAGGGUGAGGGAGCGACGCCGCGUGCAGGAAGAAGGCCUUCGGGUUGUAAACUGCUUUUAGAGGGGAUAAACGCAAGUGAUAGUACCCUCAGAAUAAGGGGCUGCUAACUUCGUGCCAGCAGCAGCGGUAAUACGAAGGCCCCGAGCGUUAUCCGGAUUUAUUGGGCGUAAAGCGUUCAAAGGCGGUCAAGUCAGUCAAGGAUUAAAUCCUGGGGCUCAACCCCAGGGCCGUCCUUGAUACUGCUCGACUUGAGAAUGGGAGAGGCAAGCGGAACUGCCGGUGUAGUAGUAAAAUGCGUUAAUAUCGGCAAGAACACCAAUGGCGAAGGCAGCUUGCUAGAACAAUUCUGACGCUAAAAGAACGAAAGCGUGGGGAGCGAAUGGGAUUAGAUACCCCAGUAGUCCACGCUGUAAACGCUGAGUGCUAGAUGUUGGGAGUUUCGACCCUCUCAGCAUCGUUCAAGCUAACGCCUUAAGCACUCCGCCUGCGAAGUACGGCCGCAAGGCUAAAACUCAAAGGAAUUGACGGGAGCCCGCACAAGCGGUGGAGCAUGUGGUUCAAUUCGACGAUAAGCGAGGAACCUUACCAAGACUUGAAAUCUAGCUGCAAACCCCGAGAAAUUGGGGCCCCCUUCGAGGGUGCUAGACAGGUGCUGCAUGGCUGUCGUCAGCUCGUGGCGUGAGCUGUCGGGUUAAGUCCUCUAACGAGCGCAACCCCCAUGAGAUGUUAAAUAUUCAUCUCAAACCGCUGCCUUUAAGGCAGAGGAAGGCGGGGAUGACGUCAAGUCAGCAUGGUCCUUAUGUCUUGGGCUACACACGUGCUACAAUGGGGCGCAACAAUGGGCCGCAAAACCGUAAGGUGAAGCAAAUCCCAUCAAACCGCCUCUCAGUUCGGAUUGAGGGCUGAAACCCGCCCUCAUGAAGCUGGAAUCGCUAGUAACCGCGGAUCAGCCUCGCCGCGGUGAAUACGUACUCGGGCUUUGUACACACCGCCCGUCAAGCCAAGAGAGUCGGGAAUACCUGAAGCUCCCGGGUUCGGGAUCCAAGGUAGGCUCGAUGAUAGGGGCUAAGUCGUAACAAGGCACCGGUAGCGGAAGCUGUCGGUG